rnacentral:rRNA from 1 species
UAGUUAUUAUAGCAAAGAGGAUACACCUGUUCCCAUUCCGAACACAGAAGUUAAGCUCUUUAGCGCUGAUGGUACUUGGUGGGAAGCUGCCUGGGAGAGUAGGACAUAGCUAGGUG